rnacentral:rRNA from 1 species
CCUACGGGAGGCUGCAGUGGGGAAUAUUGCACAAUGGGGGAAACCCUGAUGCAGCAACGCCGCGUGAGUGAAGAAGUAUUUCGGUAUGUAAAGCUCUAUCAGCAGGGACGAGAAUGACGGUACCUGACUAAUAAGCCCCGGCUAACUACGUGCCAGCAGCCGCGGUCAUACGUAGGGGGCAAGCGUUAUCCGGAUUUACUGGGUGUAAAGGGAGCGGAGACGGCUGUACAAGACUGAAGUGAAAGCCCGUGGCUCAACCGCGGAACUUCGUUGGAAACUGUAAGGCUGGAGUACUGGAGAGGAAGGCGGAAUUCCUAGUGUAGCGGUGAAAUGCGUAGAUAUUAGGAGGAACACCAGUGGCGAAGGCGGCCUGCUGGACAGAAACUGACGUUGAGGCUCGAAAGCGUGGGGAGCAAACAGGAUUAGAUACCCUUGUAGUC